GUAACGGGCCCCGCCGCCUCCCCUCCCCCUCCCCCGCCCCAUGACAGUGCAAACCCUCCGGCCGGCCCGGCCGCCCCGCCUCCGGCACCAGGCCCAGCUCAGGGCCGCGGCCGUGGCGGCGGCGGCGCCGCGGCUCUCCGCCCUCGCUCGCUCGCACUCGGGCCCGGCCCGUCGGGCCCGCCUCGGGCCCGGCCGAAGUCUCCGCCGCUUCCCGGCCGCCCUCCGCGGCGCCCGGCCCGGGCGGGAGCCCCGGCAGGAAAGGCGGCUAACCUCCGGGUGUUGUCCCACGUUGCCCGGCCCGGUGACGCGCGAUCGGGAGGACACGGGCGCGGGAGGCGGCUGGGCUUGGCUGCUGUGCCCCACGGCCGUCUGGCUCCUUGGGAACCAUCCCGGUGGAAGACUCCGCUCCCGCCUGCCCCGGUGUCCCGGCGGCCCUCGCGCAGUUUGUUCCAGCAUCUUGGCUCAGCCUGAGUGCUCCGCUUUGAAAACUAUUGGGGUGCAUUAUUCAUCAAAUAUGUAUGCAUCCCCUUAACCACGUGUCUGUUGGCAGCGUGGUUUGGUGGAAAGAAGCCGCACUUUGGAAUCCAGACAGAUCUGCCACGGAUUCUGGAUCUGAUAUCCUCUGUAUAACCUUGGACAAGCUCAUUGACCUUGCUGAGUCCCGGUUUCCUUGUCUUUUGUUUGGUUUUUUACUGUUAUUUUAAUUUACCCUUUUAUAUUUGAAAUUCCUUUGUGUGUGUGUCUCUGUGUAUGCAAAAACCAGAACUGUGUCCUUUAGCUAAGUCUACCUAAAUUGGAUUCUAAAGUACUUCUUGCUUUGGGAUUAUUCUUAUUCCUUUCCACCAUUACUAGCUGUGUUACCUGGAGAAGAUGAGAGCCUUAUUGUGCCUUUCCCAUCUUUAAAAUGGGUGUUAAAAAAAAUGGGCGUGAUUACAGAUAAUAAUAACAGCAAGUAUUUGGUGAAUUAAGAGCUAAAGUAUAUAUAAACUAGCAGGGGACACAAUAAAAGCAGUUUGUUACAG
ensembl:lncRNA